GACGGGGAGCACCACAACGGGUGGAGCUUGCGGUUUAAUUGGAUUCAACGCCGGAAAUCUUACCGGACCGACAGCAAUAUGAAGGCCAGGCUGAAGACUUUGCCGGAUUAGCUGAGAGGUGGUGCAUGGCCGUCGUCAGUUCGUACUGUGAAGCACCCUGUUAAGUCAGGCAACGAGCGAGGCCCACGCCCACAGUUGCCAGCGUACUCUCUGGAGUGACGGGUACACUGUGGGGACCGCCGCUGCUAAAGCGGAGGAAGGAAUGGGCAACGGUAGGUCAGUAUGCCCCGAAUAUCCCGGGCUACACGCGAGCUACAAUGGUUGGUACAAUGGGUAUCUACCCCGAAAGGGGACGGGAAUCUCCUAAAACCAAUCUUAGUUCGGAUUGAGGGCUGCAACUCGCCCUCAUGAAGCUGGAAUCCGUAGUAAUCGCGUUUCAACAGAACGCGGUGAAUACGUCCCUGCUCCUU
rnacentral:rRNA from 1 species